rnacentral:misc_RNA from 1 species
GUGAAUCAUCGAAUUUUUGAACGCAUAUUGCACUCUCUGGUAUUCCGUAGAGUAUGCCUAUUUGAGGGUCAUUUGAAAUAAUAUAAAUUCCAAGAUUUCUCGGGAUUUAAAUUGUGUUGUCCAUUUUUUGUGAUCGCCUAAAAUCCAACACAAGCUCAUUUUCUUGGGUUGCGUGAUACUUUCAGUUACUUCGUGACUUAACCAGCAAUAUUCGGCAGGCUUCUUACUUUUUCAAG